UACGAAGGGUGCUAGCGUUGCUCGGAAUCACUGGGCGUAAAGGGUGCGUAGGCGGCCCUUUAAGUCAGGGGUGAAAUCCUGGAGCUCAACUCCAGAACCGCCUUUGAUACUGAAGAUCUUGAGUUCGGGAGAGGUGAGUGGAACUGCGAGUGUAGAGGUGAAAUUCGUAGAUAUUCGCAAGAACACCAGUGGCGAAGGCGGCUCACUGGCCCGAUACUGACGCUGAGGCACGAAAGCGUGGGGAGCAAACAGG
rnacentral:rRNA from 1 species